rnacentral:rRNA from 1 species
CCCUUUUCUGGGGGAAGAGAAAGGACGGUACCCCAGGAAUAAGCCCCGGCUAACUACGUGCCAGUAGCCGCGGCUAAAACGUAUGGAGUCAAGCGUUAUCCGGAUUUACUGGGCUUACAGAGCGUUGAGGCGGUUUUGUAAGUUGGGCUGUGAAAGCCCUGGGCUUAACUCAGGGAAGCCGUUCAGUACUGCGAAACUUGAGGUCAACAGAGGGACGUGGAAUUCCCGGAGUAGCGGUGAAAUGCGUAGAUAUCGGGAGGAACACCAGUGGCGAAGCCGGCCUCCUGGCAUGCUCUUGACGCUGAAGGCGAAAGUUAGGGGAGCAAACGGCAUUAGAAACCCCGGUAGUCCUAGCCGUAAACGAUGGAUGCUAGUUCUGGAGGCUGUAGAUUCCCUCCGUGCCGCAGCUAACGCGUUAAGCAUCCCGCCUGGGGAGUACGUCCGCAAGGCUAAAACUCAAACGAAUUGACGGGGGCCCGCACAAGCAGCGGAGCGCGUGGUAUAAUUAGAUGCUACACGUAGUACCUUACCUGGGCUUGACAUACAGGUAGUAAUGAAAUGAAAACGGAUCGACCCUUCGGGGAGCCUGUACAGGUGCUGCAUGUCUGUCGUCAGCUCGUGCCGUGAGGUGUCGGAUUAAGUCCAGUAACGAGCGCAACCCUUGCUCUUAGUUAUACGUGUCUAAGAGGACUGCCGUCGGUAAGCCGGAGGAAGGUGGGGAUGACGUCAAGUCAGCAUGACCUUUAUGUCCAGGGCUACACACACGCUACAAUGGCCGGUACAAUGGGUGGAUAAACCGCGAGGUGGAGCCAAUCCUGUAAAGCCGGUCUCAGUUCGAAUUGCAGGCUGCAACUCGCAUGCAUGAAGUCGGAGUUGCUAGUAAUCGCAGGUCAGCAAUUCUGCGCGUGAAUACGUUCACCGGGCGUUGUACACACCGCCCGUCACGUCAUGG